AGCGAACGCUGGCGGCAGGCCUAACACAUGCAAGUCGAACGAACCUUUCGGGGUUAGUGGCGGACGGGUGAGUAACACGUGGGAACGUGCCUUUAGGUUCGGCAUAACUCAGGGAAACUUGUGCUAAUACCGAAUGUGCCCUUCGGGGGAAAGAUUAAUCGCCUUUAGAGCGGCCCGCGUCUGAUUAGCUAGUUGGUUGAGGUAAUGGCUCACCAAGGCGACGAUCAGUAGCUGGUCUGAGAGGAUGAUCAGCCACAUUGGGACUGAGACACGGCCCGAACUCCUGCGGGAGGCAGCAGUGGGGAAUCUUGCGCAAUGGGCGAAAGCCUGACGCAGCCUUGCCGCGUGAAUGAUGAAGGUCUUAGGCUUGUAAAAUUCUUUCACCGGGGACGAUAAUGACGGUACCCGGAGAAGAAGCCCCGGCUAACUUCGU
rnacentral:rRNA from 1 species